GGUGGUUCUCGGGUGACACACCCCAGAAUCAUGCUCCCUCCUCUGGUUCUGGGAUGUGUCACCCAAGAACCACA
rfam:Myotis lucifugus cont2.2426, whole genome shotgun sequence.